rnacentral:misc_RNA from 1 species
AGAUCAGUGGUUCAUUGCAACAGUGCCUAAAAGCUUGGCCGUUUAGUGAACCUGAUCAAUUGUCUUUAGGCCCGACAAAGUAUGAACCUUUUAGGUAGCAAGUUCCAAACUAGGAGAAAGGCAUCUAGAAUUACAUAAGACAGCCAGCUCAAAACUUCCUCAUAGUUAGGCCAUUCAUGGGUAGGUUUUGAUUGAUUUCAGAAGAAAUUCAA